CGGAUUUAUUGGGUUUAAAGGGUCCGUAGGCGGAUCUGUAAGUCAGUGGUGAAAUCUCACAGCUUAACUGUGAAACUGCCAUUGAUACUGCAGGUCUUGAGUAAAUUUGAAGUGGCUGGAAUAAGUAGUGUAGCGGUGAAAUGCAUAGAUAUUACUUAGAACACCAAUUGCGAAGGCAGGUCACUAAGAUUUAACUGACGCUGAUGGACGAAAGCGUGGGGAGCGAACAGGAUUAGAUACCCUGGUAGUCCACGCCGUAAACGAUGAUAACUCGGUGCUGGCGAUAUACGGUCAGUGCCCAAGCGAAAGUGAUAAGUUAUCCACCUGGGGAGUACGAUCGCAAGGUUGAAACUCAAAGGAAUUGACGGGGGCCCGCACAAGC
rnacentral:rRNA from 1 species